rnacentral:rRNA from 1 species
CCUACGGGAGGCAGCAGUGAGGAAUAUUGGUCAAUGGGCGAGAGCCUGAACCAGCCAAGUCGCGUGAGGGACGACGGUCCUAUGGAUUGUAAACCUCUUUUGUCGGGGAACAAAGGCGCCCACGGGUGGGCGGAUGAGUGUACCCGAAGAAAAAGCAUCGGCUAACUCCGUGCCAGCAGCCGCGGUAAUACGGAGGAUGCAAGCGUUAUCGGGAUUUAUUGGGUUUAAAGGGUGCGUAGGCGGACAGUCAAGUCAGCGUGAAACAGGAGGUGAGAAACGGCGUACAGCCGUUGAAACUGGCAGUGUUGAGUGGGCAAGAAGUAUGCGGAAUGCGUGGUGUAGCGGUGAAAUGCAUAGAUAUCACGCAGAACUCCGAGUGCGAAGGCAGCAUACCGGCGCCCUACUGACGCUGAGGCACGAAAGCGUGGGUAUCGAACAGGAGUAGAUACCCCUGUAGUC